rnacentral:sRNA from 1 species
AAUACACCAAGACGCAACGAAGGAUUUGACGAAAUGCUGGGGCUUUCGACAGGGAGAACCAAGAUGGAGACCCAAAAGUAUAGAGGAAGUGAAGCAGGUGGGCACUAGUGAGCUUCGAGUGGAAAUAGGGGGAAGAUUAGCGCACCAAACAACAACAAGAGAGAGGAGUGAAGGAGCAGCGGAGCAACAUGAUUAGAAGGCCCGACCGGUAGGAAGUCAUCCCAAGUCUACGUAAAGGAAAAUGAUUUGGGGUCACGUUCUCUCCGCCGGGAAGACAAGAAAAGUAUGUAAAAUCAAAGGUGAUGGGGUUGGGUGAGAGAAAGAUGUCAGGGAAACCACUGGGAUAGUUCAAGGAAAGCCAAGAGGACUCUGUGUAUCAAUAGGCUCGAGAAGACAGAUGAAAGAGCUGUCAUUUUCCAAUGGUAAUUUUUGGAGUAGCGGAGAGAAUAAAAAGUGGUGAAAGUAGGUGCAGUAAAAGCAACGGUGCGGGAAACGCCACGGUGGUUGAGCAAAAAUAUUUAGGCGGCAAGCGCCCAUUGGUUGCUUCUGGAAUCACUUGGCAGGACACCUAAAUCGGGGUCCGCGGCAGAUCUGGGAAAGAGCUGUAGACGAUAGGUAAUGCAUGUACUCUGUAGCAGUCCGACA